CCUGCUGGAGCUCUUCCCCGGAAGCAGUAGCACCCAGCGCAGGCAGGUCAGCAGCAUCUUCUGGCGGCCCUUCAGACAGACAAGCUCAGCUGCAAACCCGGCUGGGAGCGCCUCAGGCCGGCUGCAGUCGGCCACCAUGACAGGCCCGGGGCUCCCGGCACCUCUGGCUGCGGGCCGGCUGCCCAGCGCUCACCUCUCCCUCCGGAGCAGCUGAAGAGAAUGCCAUCCGUCGUCGGCCGCCGUGGGCAGUGGUGCUUCUGUGACUGUGUCCGAGGUGACCAGGCCUCUCAACCUGGGGAUGAUGGGCCUCGGUAUCCGGAGUGGGGGCUUGUCUGAAGCCCCAGGGAUGCCCAAACCAGAGCCACCCCUGGAAAAGCCCUUUAUCCCCCUGCCUGUGGGACGACUGAGAGAAAAGGCCGCGCUGCUGGAGGAGACUAGGGCACGUCCAGACCUCACGGUGGAACCUGAGGGAGUGACACCAGCUCUCUCCCACCGGGCGCGGACUCCUCUCCACUGAAGUCACCCUGUCACCGUGACGGGAGAGUCUGUGGCAAAGGUGGUGACUGGAUUACAAAGGAGCCUUUUCCCGUUCCCUCUACUGAUUGGGCACAGGGAUAACAAUGAAUGUGAUAAGGUAGUGUUUGCACCCUGUUAUAAGCUACCACUUACUGAGCACUUACUAUGUUUCAGGUCCUGUGUUAUAGUCUCUGAAUCUAUUUUUUAAAAUAUUUUUAUGGUGGUAAAUACACACACACA